CAGGGAAUCUUCGGCAAUGGGGGCAACCCUGACCGAGCAACGCCGCGUGAGUGAAGAAGGUUUUCGGAUCGUAAAGCUCUGUUGUAAGAGAAGAACGUGUGUGAGAGUGGAAAGUUCACACAGUGACGGUAACUUACCAGAAAGGGACGGCUAACUACGUGCCAGCAGCCGCAGUAAUACGUAGGUCCCGAGCGUUGUCCGGAUUUAUUGGGCGUAAAGCGAGCGCAGGCGGUUUAAUAAGUCUGAAGUUAAAGGCAGUGGCUUAACCAUUGUUCGCUUUGGAAACUGUUAAACUUGAGUGCAGAAGGGGAGAGUGGAAUUCCAUGUGUAGCGGUGAAAUGCGUAGAUAUAUGGAGGAACACCGGUGGCGAAAGCGGCUCUCUGGUCUGUAACUGACGCUGAGGCUCGAAAGCGUGGGGAGCAAACAGG
rnacentral:rRNA from 1 species